AACGAACGCUGGCGGCAGGCUUAACACAUGCAAGUCGAACGCAUCCUUCGGGGUGAGUGGCAGACGGGUGAGUAACGCGUGGGAACGUGCCCUUCAGUUCGGGAUAACCCAGGGAAACUUGGGCUAAUACCGGAUACGUGCGAGAGCAGAAAGGUUUAUCGCUGAAGGAUCGGCCCGCGUCUGAUUAGCUAGUUGGUGGGGUAAUGGCCCACCAAGGCGACGAUCAGUAGCUGGUCUGAGAGGAUGAUCAGCCACAUUGGGACUGAGACACGGCCGAAACUCCGACGGGAGGCAGCAGUGGGGAAUAUGGGACAAUGGGCGAAAGCCUGAUACAGCCAUGCCGCGUGAGCGAUGAAGGCCUUAGGGUUGUAAUGCUCUUUCGUCCGGGACGAUAAUGACGGUACCGGAAGAAGAAGCCCCGGCUAACUUCGUGCCAGCAGCCGCCGUAA
rnacentral:rRNA from 1 species